CAAUAGCGUAUAUUUAAGUUGUUGCAGUUAAAAAGCUCGUAGUUGGAUUUCGGAUGGGACUUGCCGGUCCGUCGUUUCGAUGUGCACUGGCCAGUCCUAUCUUGUUGUCGGGGACUAGCUCCUGGGCUUCACUGUCCGGGACUAGGAGCUGACGAGGUUACUUUGAGUAAAUUAGAGUGUUCAAAGCAAGCCUACGCUUUGAAUACAUUAGCAUGGAAUAACACGAUAGGACUCUGGCUUAUCUUGUUGGUCUGUGAGACCAGAGUAAUGAUUAAGAGGGACAGUCGGGGGCAUUCGUAUUUCAUUGUCAGAGGUGAAAUUCUUGGAUUUAUGAAAGACGAACUUCUGCGAAAGCAUUUGUCAAGGAUGUUUUCAUUAA
rnacentral:rRNA from 1 species